CCAGAAUGAAAAAUCUCCCUGGAUGUGACGAAUAUUGUCAGAUCCUGGAUGCUAAGCAGGACAGUGCCUGGUUAGUGCUUGGUUGGGAAACUGCCUGGGAAUGCCAGGUGCUGUCGGCU
rnacentral:rRNA from 1 species